GCCUAUUUUAGGAAGUCCGUGAUAGAUAUGAAUCGAAUCCCCUAUCAGGGUAAGCCCACCGAGACCGAGAAUAGUUAGCAGGCGAGACAGGAGUUGAGUUGGCAGAGAUUAGCUCUGGUGAAAAAGAAUCAAAAGAAUUGUUUGUUAUAGUUGAGCCGAGAAAGUCAUUACUAGGAUUGAAAGACUUUCAUUAGCAGUCGGGCUUAGAAGCAUAGUCCUUAGGCCGCGAGGAUGAAAGCGUAGUACUUUCUAUACGUCAAUAGGACUUCCUCUUUCUAUAUGAAUAAGCGCAAGUUUCCCUUUUUUGAAUGAAAAUUAGCCGUCGGAAGUAUCUCAGGCUAGGCCUUACAUCCUGAUCCAAGCAAGCAAGCAUAGGAGGGAAGGGAAGAGACUUAAUUUUUGUUUUUGUUCGUUUACCAAGUUCGGCAUUAAAUUAAGGCUUUGCUCUAAUGAAGAGUUCUUUCUAUCGAUCGCUUUCGCCCCU
rnacentral:misc_RNA from 1 species